UUGUUAUUUCCUUUUCUUAUUUUCUCGACUUCUAACUUUAGGACGUCGACGUCUAACCCUAGCUGCAUUUUUUCCUCUUCCAACUGUUCUAUCUUUUUCCCCAACUCCAAACUCCUCUUGUCAAAGUCUUUCUUUAUGAUCUCUAGCUCAGAUGGGAUCAUUUGUAGGUUUUUUGCUAUUGGCCGAGUGUUUUCUUAACUUGACAUAGGGACAUUAUCAUUGACUCUUUUACCCCACCACCAAUUAUAUUUGGGGGU
rnacentral:lncRNA from 1 species